rnacentral:lncRNA from 10 species
GGCCCACGGCAGCCUCCGAGGGUGCUGGACUCACCUGAUGACGGCUUCUUUUAUUGUCUUCCCUUCUGCCUGCUUGCUGGGCUCCAGCCAGCCCAAGUUCCCUCAUGCGCCUGUCUGGGCCUGCCCAAUCCGUGGCCACCUCCUCAGCUGGUCCUGCACAGGCUCCAACCCUGUUGGGGUUGCAUAUCCCCUGUUUGUGCUGCCCGCCAGCUGGCUAAUUCUGAUUAUUUCUCCUUCUCCUUGCUCUCUUGGGCGCCUUUAUUCCUGAUUGUGCAUUUUCUCUGGACUCAGGAUUAAAAAAACCCACGCUGCUGAUAUCCUUGUCAGCCUUUUCCUGAAUCAUUGCUGUGCAGCUCCAGGGAGCCACGGGCCGGUGCCUUCUGACCGGCAGACUCCGUCCAUGGGCCUUCCUGUCCUUGGGGUCCUGGAGCUCUCUGUCUGAGCCUCCUUGGCCACUGAAGCAACACCCAGAGGCCUGCAUCCUCUAAGAAAUGCCAGCCAGGGUUGCAGAUGGAGCCAAGAAUUGAAAAUCUGGCCGAGUCUUUCCAUCUCACAGAUGAGCAAGCUGAACCUCAGAGGGCUUAGUGAUGUGGUUGAGGCACAGCCACCAAGGAUCAAUGACUGAGCCUCAAAACCACCUCUUCUGAGAGUACUGCUUUCUUACCCGAGGAUGGCCCAUCAGGGUGAUCUGGAAGGCAGAAGACGGGAGUUUUUCUGUGAACUCACUGUGGUGGGGGUGGUCCUUGGAAAAGUACUGAGUACACAGAAGUGGCGACGGGCAAAUGGAGAUCCUGGAAAAGGAGGUUUUCUACCAAAAUAUCCUUGUGAACAUGAGGACAGCUUCCAAACUGAGAAAGAGUGGGCUCGAGAAAGCUCUAAUGCUUCUUUCCCUGACACGAAGUGCUUCGUGCAGUGUUUGGCAUCAACAUGUCGGAGCCGUGGCAACGUUCUCCGUGCAUCCCCGCUUGGGCGUCAUUUUGUGAGUACGACAAACCCCAUCAAUUCUUACCUCAUCUAUUAGAAAUGCAGCAUUGUGAAUGGAAGCAAUGUUUUCUGGGGCGCAUCAUUGGAAAUGAAAACUACUUCAUUUUUCUAUAUCUUUACUGAAUAGACCUAACCCUUCCCUUCAGCUUCACUGGAUGUGGAUGGCCCUAAAAUACUCUCAUGGAGACCAUCAAGAGAGAAAGAAUGUUGCUUUAAAAGCCAAUUAGAAAAUAUUCACAACAUAUGUAGCAAAGGGCUAAUGUUCUUCCUAUAAAAAUAACUUUCAAAUGGAUAAGAAAGAUAUUAAGAUCUCAACAGAUAAAUGAGAAAAGGGUAUGAAAAAGAAUUUGCAAAAGAAAUUCAAGUAGCUAAUAUUUAGUGAACACUUACUAUAUGCCAGGUAUAAUUUACAAGGGAUUUCUCAUUCAUUCUUUACAAAGACCCUAUGAGUUAGGUGUUAUUAUUCUCAUCCCUAUUAAAAGAUGAGAAAACAAAAUAAAGCUUUGAGAAGUUAAAUAAUCACCCCAAGAUCACGCAUAUUGUAAGUGAGGGGCCAGGAUUCAAAAUCACUCAGCUUAAUCUAGCAGGCAGGGGCUCCUAACUGCUUUGCUGUAACCUCACAAAUCCACAGAUACAAUUGUAAAAUAAGGUUUUUUUUUUUUUUUUAAAGUUCAUGCUUACUAGUAAACUAAAAUAUGUUAAUUGAAAACAAUCAGAAAAAUUUCAUUAUCAGAAUAACAAUAAAAAAUGUUAAUAUUCAGCUGGGUGUGGUGGCUCAUGUCUGUAACCUCAGCGCUUUAGGAGGCUGAGGCAGGCAGAUCACUUGAGGCCAGGAGUUCAAGACCAGCCUGGCCAACAUGGUGAAACCCCAUCUCUACUGAAAAUACAAAAGUUAGCCAGGUGUGGUGGCAUGAGCAUGUAAUCCCAGCUACUAGGGUGGCUGAGGCAUGAGAAUCACUUCAACCUGGGAAGCAGAG